CAUGCAAGUCGAGGGGCAGCGAGCGGGUAGCGAUACCUGUGUCGGCGACCGGCGCACUGGUGAGUAACACGUAUGCAACCUGCCCUCCGCAGGGGAAUAAACCGGGGAAAUCUGGUCUAAUGCCCCAUAGUCCCCGGGUCCGCAUGGGCCCGGGGGGAAAGAUCCGUCGGCGGGGGAUGGGCAUGCGGCGCAUUAGCUUGUUGGCGGGGCAGCGGCCCACCAAGGCGACGAUGCGUAGGGGUUCUGAGAGGAAGGUCCCCCACACUGGUACUGAGACACGGACCAGACUCCUACGGGAGGCAGCAGUGAGGAAUAUUGGUCAAUGGGCGGGAGCCUGAACCAGCCAAGUCGCGUGAGGGAUGACGGUCCUACGGAUUGUAAACCUCUUUAGCCGGGGAGUAACGUGUCCCACGCGUGGGGCAGUGAGAGUACCCGGAGAAUAAGCAUCGGCUAACUCCGUGCCAGCAGCCGCGGUAAUACGGAGGAUGCGAGCGUUAUCCGGAUUUAUUGGGUUUAAAGGGUGCGCAGGCGGCGCUCCAAGUCAGCGGUCAAAUGCCCGGGCUCAACCCGGGUCCGCCGUUGAUACUGGG
rnacentral:rRNA from 1 species